UGAUUUUGUGUUGGGCCGCAUUCAUAGCCAUCCUGGGCUGCAUGCAGUCCACAGGCCACACGUUGGACAUCCCUGCUACUAUAUAUACAAAUA